rnacentral:rRNA from 1 species
CCUACGGGAGGCAGCAGUGGGGAAUAUUGCGCAAUGGGCGAAAGACUGAAGCAGCGACGCCGCGUGAGGGAUGAAGGUCUUCGGAUCGUUAACCUCUGUCUGCCGGGGAGCACGGUCACUGUGCUAAUCAGCAGUGAAUUGACGGUACCUGCAAAGGAAGCACCGGCUAACUCCGUGCCAGCAGCCGCGGUAAUACGGAGGGUGCGAGCGUUAAUCGGAAUUAUUGGGCGUAAAGGGCUCGUAGGCGGUAUGUCAAGGCAAGGGGGAAAUCCCCGCGCGCAACGUGGGAACUGCCGUUGAAACUGGCAAACUGGAGUGUGUGAGAGGAUAGUGGAAUUCGAGGUGUAGGAGUGAAAUCCGUAGAUAUCUGGAGGAACAUCAGUGGCGAAGGCGACUAUCUGGCACAUAACUGACGCUGAGGAGCGAAAGCGUGGGUAGCAAACAGGAUUAGAUACCCCAGUAGUC